rnacentral:lncRNA from 1 species
UACUAAAUAACACAUUUAAUAUAAAUCAAAUUUCAUCAAACAAAUACAUAUUAAUAAGCUUUAUGAGUCAUCAUGUUAAAUUGGUUUUAUACAAACUUGUGUAUGAUAACUUGAACAUUACAAUUUUAAAUCCUUAAAAAUCUAAAUAAUUCGACAUCAAAUAAACAUAAAUAUCUAAGUAUUUGAUUGGUGAUUUGAAUUAUAAUCACUCAAUCGUUUUUUCAUGGUGAAGUGAGCUCAAUCUCUGCAUCAGGCUGAAACAAUGAAAAUUGAAUAAAUGAUUAGAUAAACAUUUAUUGAUAUACAUAUAUUUUGAUAAAAAAAAAAUUACAAAAUUCAUCUCAAAAACAAGUUCAUAUAUUGAUAAAUAUUUAUAAGAUUAUGAAUAAAAGAAAAUUACUUUAAUAAUGAUCAAACAGUAAAUGUGAUUGAGAAAUUAUAAUAAUGUUCAUUUAAAUUUAUGAAAAACUGUAUUUUUCUACUAAAAAUAACAAAUAUCAACUAGUGGAGCAUAUUGCAACAAGAACAUAGAUAUUUGAAAAAGAAAGUACAAGAAAAAAAUAAACAUUACCCAGCCUUAUGUUUUCCAAAAUUAUAAAAUGGUGCUCAUUUUAUAUGAGUAUAUUGAUUCAAGUAUUUCUCGCUUCUCUUAAAUUAUAUAUUAGACCCUCCUUGGUAUUAUUUUUAAGUUAUAUUAAUAUCAAUCACAAUCUAAUCUUCAAAAUUAUCUUUUUAAUUUCCAAUAGUCAAAUUCAAUUAAGAAUAAAAUCAUUACAUGAUACUUAACUAAAUAAAAAUAAAAUUGAAACUUAUCUGAAAUCAAUUAAAGGACGAGUACGAAUAACUUUACGAUGUUGUAGAAAUUUAAAAAAAUCUUAAAAUCUGAAAAAUAUUUAUAAAUUCAAUUUAACAACUUGCAAAUAUGUAUAAUACUUAUGAAAUAAAUAAUAAAAAGAACACAUCAGAUGCUCAAACCCAUGUGAUAGAGAAUUACCUCUAUAUUCAUAAUAUUAUUUAUCAUCCCUGCCACUUUGUUGGACCUACAAAAGAUAAAGUCAACUAACAAAAAUCACAUACAAAAAAAAUUCAAAUUGAAAGAGAAAAUGAGGUAAGAUAGGACGAUGCUCAUCUAAGUUCAGUGAGAACAAAAAAGAGAUUAAAAAGUAGUAAAGAAUGAAAGGUUAGGAAUGAAGGGAGCUAGGUGAAAGAGGGGAAAAGAGAUGUGGAUUUGGGUGCUCCUUAGUGGGAAGGGGAAUGGUUAUUAGAUUGAGCUUUAAAAUUUUUGAAGGAAAAUUUUUAUCUUAAUAAUUUAUAACUUUUUGUAAGAGCAGAAAGUAUUACUAGAAUUUUGCUUGAUUUUGGUCCAAAUGUCAAUUGAGAGAAA